AGUCCUCUUCUGGGGACUUACGGGCCACUUUGUUAUGAUGAGUCCUGGGCCCUAUGGAGCCAUUGUUGAGGAUUUCCAGCAGCACCCAGUCUGCAUCAACAACUUCUGGAAGCAGAGAGUCCCUGAACCUUGGAGCAAGGAGAGGUAUUUGAGAUUAGGUUGUUUCUGCUUCCUCCGUUUACCAAUAGGGAGAGUCGGAUGGAGAGAGGCCUGCAUCACCCUCUGGGGCACAUGGCUUGUGUGGAGGGAGCAGCAGCUCCUUGGGAGUUGAGGGUGCAGAAUCAGGGGCAGCGUGGAUGGCCUUGGGGUCAGGCCACCCUGGGCUCAAAUCCUGACUGUUGCUGUGCCACUGAGCAUGUGCCUGAGCUCUCUGGGCCGCAGUCUCAUGCUGGCUGGAUGAGUGGCAUCUCAGGGCUGCCGUGUGCCACGAAGGCACCGAGAGCAGGACUUGUGCAGGAUGUGCGUCCACCAGUACCACACACCAUCUUCCUGAUGAGGGCCAGGGCAACCAAGGUCCUUUGUAGACACCAGCACCUUCUAACUUGGUGAGGUCCUGGCUGCCGUGCCGUGCAUGGAGUCACCUGCCUGCAAACAGCCACUCUCUAUCCUGCUCCAGUCCAGUUUGAAAAACAAGCAAGGUCUAUUCCAGUGAAGAGCCACCAGGGAAGAGUCAAGGAGGGCAUCUGCUGUUCAAACCCUGACCCCCUCUUGCUAAUGAUGGCAUCACGCUUACUUUUAGAUGUAACAUACAGCCUCGGAGGGGUUGGAGGAGAGGUCCAUGGAGAUCACCUGGCUCAGCCUUCUCGUUUUCCAGAUGAUUUUUUUUAGUCCAAAGAGACUAAAUGACUUGACUAAGGCCACACAGCAUGUCAGCGGGCCAGCUAGGACUCCACCCACAGCCCCUGAGUCUGGGGAUCCCUGUGCUCUUGGCUCUGAGCAAGGCUGCCUCACUUCAUUUUAGUUUAGUCUGUGUGACUUGAGCACAAGUUCUGCACACAAAACUGUGCAAGGCCACUAAUAGCACUCACAGAGCAGUGCUAUCCCUUCCUUCCUUUGAAAUGGUGGAGGUGGAGACAGUACAUACAAGAGUUACUCAAGACAAGGAUGAGGGUGCAGGGAGGAAGCCGAGCCCUUCCAUGCCACCUCUGAGACAGCUGGAGGGCAUAGCCGCUCCAUGGCUGCAGCCCGGUUUAGAAUGUGCCAGGGGUGGGGUCAGGCACCGCUUUCUUAAAUGAUCUUUCCUCUGUUGUCUCAAGACAUUUUCCAAGUACCAGACAGGACAAAAUGGCUUAGAUGUAAGCCUCUCUACUUUGCCGCAGGCCCCAGUGCUCUCUGUUGUCCCACCUAGGCUCCUGCUGCCUGCCCUGAUGUCUGCAGAUUCACUUGGUCAAGAGGAGUUCCUUCUAUGCCUGCUGUGUUUUUCAGCCAUAGCACAGAACUGUUUUAUGGGGGGAGCAUGCUCAUGCGCUAAAUCAGUGGUCUCUCACUCAGGGAGGAAGAGAGGCCAACAUUUGCUGAGGGCUUACUGUGCCCUGGGUUCUCAGCUGUCCCCACGAGGGGGUGCAAUGCCCUUGGUUUUAAAGAGAUGAAAAUAUCAAGGCUCCAAGAGGUAAAAAACUUGCCCCAGGCCACCUAGAUGUGGCUGGUGAAGCUAUGUUUGAACCCACCGCUGACUAACUCCAAAAUUCAUAUUCUUUUCUCUUCUCUCGGCUGUCUUCCAAGUAUCCAGAAUGGACUGUCUGGAAAGCGUUCUGUUAGUACUUCUUGACUGUGGGACUACAGGUCUUUGAGUUUCUCCUAAUAAAGUGAUUUCUGAUG
rnacentral:lncRNA from 1 species